GGCCUCAUAGCUCAGUCGGUGAGAGCGCCAUUCUUAUAAAAUGGAGGUCCCUGGUUCGAGUCCAGGUGGGGCUA
rnacentral:tRNA from 1 species